UACGUAGGGUCCGAGCGUUGUCCGGAAUUACUGGGCGUAAAGGGCUCGUAGGUGGCCAACUAAGUCAGACGUGAAAUCCCUCGGCUUAACCGGGGAACUGCGUCUGAUACUGGAUGGCUUGAGUUCGGGAGAGGGAUGCGGAAUUCCAGGUGUAGCGGUGAAAUGCGUAGAUAUCUGGAGGAACACCGAUGGCGAAGGCAGCCAUCUGGACCGACACUGACGCUGAGGCGCGAAAGCGUGGGGAGCAAACAGG
rnacentral:rRNA from 1 species